rnacentral:misc_RNA from 1 species
GAUGAAGAACGUAGCGAAAUGCGAUAAGUAAUGUGAAUUGCAGAAUUCAGUGAAUCAUCGAAUCUUUGAACGCACCUUGCGCUCCUUGGUAUUCCGAGGAGCAUGCCUGUUUGAGUGUCAUUAAAUUCUCAACCUCACCAGUUUUGUUAUGAGACUGUGUAAGGCUUGGAUGUGGGGGUUUUUGCAGGCUGCCUCUGUGCGGUCUGCUCCCCUGAAAUGCAUUAGCGAGUUCACUAAGCUCCGUCUAUUGGUGUGAUAAUUAUCUACGCCGUGGAAUGGGUUUAGACUUGCUUCUAACCGUCUGCAAAGACAACUUUUGACAAUUUGACCUCAAAUCAGGUAGGACUACCCGCUGAACUUAAGCAUAUCAAUAAGCGGAGGA